GGCAAAAUACUUUAAAACAAAAGGUUUGAUUUGCAUUCAAAUAAUGAAACAAUAGUUUCUUCUGCCA
rnacentral:tRNA from 1 species